rnacentral:rRNA from 1 species
GUGUCAGCAGCCGCGGUAAGACGAACUGUGCGAACGUUAUUCGGAAUCACUGGGCUUACAGGGUGCGUAGGCGGCCUGUUAAGUAGGGUGUGAAAUCCCCCGGCCCAACCGGGGAAUUGCGCUCUAAACUAGCAGGCUUGAGUAAGCUAGGGGUGCACGGAACUUCCAGUGGAGCGGUGAAAUGUGUUGAUAUUGGAAGGAACACCGGAGGCGAAAGCGGUGCACUGGGGCUUAACUGACGCUGAGGCACGAAAGCCAGGGGAGCGAACGGGAUUAGAUACCCCGGUAGUCCUGGCCGUAAACGAUGAGCACUAGGCGGGAGAGGGUUCGCCCUUUCCGGCCGUAGCGAAAGCGUUAAGUGCCCCGCCUGGGGAGUAUGGCCGCAAGGCUGAAACUCAAAUGAAUUGACGGGG